AGAAAGAAGUCUGAAGUUACAUUCCAGAAUUCAUGCUCAUCUGUUUUCGAAGAAGACCUUUUACAUUUUCAAAAGCAAUGAAUAUUAUUUAACACAAGAGCAUACAGAAAUUAAGCAUCUUCCUGGGGAUUGUCCUGGGUUAUAUCCUGACUAUGUGGUGUAUUUUGAACUAAGAGACACCGAAGGGGCCAAAAUCAUCAGGUCCAUGCCUGAGAGUGGACUUCUGUUUGAACUCCUGCAAACUUAACCCAACCCCUUAGCGCAGCACUGGCUCUCUAAUUCUUUGAGACACCAUCACUGUACAAUUUUGAAAUGCUAAAUCAGGCAUUCUAUUCCAACUCUACAAUUAGAACCAUGCGAAAAAUGAAUUAAAUUCUCCUCC